CGGCGCUGGCGCUGUGUGCCUUUGCGAGGGCGAAGCUGCGUUCUCCUCAACACAGACCCAAAGAGCAUCGUGAGGGCGGAGCUGAGUUCUACUCUGCACAGACUUCGGAGAUACAGCGAAAGCAGAGCAGUGUUCUCCUCAGCACAAACCCGGGCGGGCGGGCCGGUGGCACCGCGAGCGUGGAGCUGCGUUCUGCUCUGCACAGACCUUGGGGGCACUGCGUCGCUUUGGGACAACUCGGGGCCACAUCGAGGGUGAAUAAAAUCCUUCCUGUUUGCAGCCCUGUUUGCGGUUGGUGGCAGCGAUGGACACUGCAGCCAGCCAGAGCGUAGAAAGGCGUCGGGUCAAAGAAGAUGGCCACGGAGACAGCAGCGUGGUCAGAGUGGUAGGAGCCGGCCAUCGGUGAGAGCUGCUCCAUGCCUGGCUGCUGGGUGCUACAGCCUGCGGCCCACUGGCUUGCCUCACUGUGGUUGGUGGUGGUGGUGACAGAGACUGCAGCACGACCAGAGUGGCUUUUCUGGCUUUGCCCGCCCAGCUGCUCCGUGCCAGGAGGAGGAGGAGACACCUAGAGCCUGCAACACCACGGCUCGCCUCGCUGCAGGUGGGUGGCAGCGACGGAGACUACAGUGCGCCAAAGCAGUAGGAGAGCGGCCACGCUAGGAGGGCAGGCAGCUGCAGCCAGGGUUG
rnacentral:lncRNA from 1 species